CAGCACGGUGGACUGAAGGCGGCCAAGGCGGCGUCGACGGUUCUGCUGAACAUGUUCCAGUACAACAAGCUUCACAAAGAUUACAAGCUGAAAGGAUUUACCAGAAGAGACUUCACAGAAGGCAGCGUGUGAAAGAGCUGGCCGUAAGCCCCCCACUGAGCCUGGGCUGGACCACCGAGAAGCAGAACACCCCAGAACGAUGACGUGAUGUUCAGCACACGGCAGACUUUGAGCUGACGAUGCAUACGACCCCGGUGGAAGAAGGCAAAACACGCUGACGCAAUUCAAGAGCUGAGUGACAGCUGUGUGAUAAUCUGAUAGUGAUUAACAGUGGAUAUUUCUCUCCUUUCACUCAAACCCCAAAAGGCACUUAACAAAGUUGACAUUCACUUUUUUUUGUAUUUGCUUACAUAGAUGUUAAAUAUGACCAAAUGUCUGAUUUCUGUUUAUUUUCCUGUGUAAUUUGAUUGACAUGUUAACAACAUACAAAUAGUUCAUAAUUCAUGGCUUACCUUUGCAAAAGAGGAAUCUUUUUAGGCUUCAAAUGUGUGUUCCCUUACAUUGAGGUACUACCUGAUCUAUGCAUAAAUAGAGGGGGAGGAGCAGGAGAUCAAUAGAU